CUUAUAUAAAUCUCCAAAUUAUUGAAUGAAUUUGCAAAUGGCAUACUCUUAAGCAAAAC
ensembl:misc_RNA